rnacentral:rRNA from 1 species
CAGCAGCCGCGGGAAUACAGAGGGUGCAAGCGUUAAUCGGAAUUACUGGGCGUAAAGCGCGCGUAGGUGGUUUGUUAAGUUGGAUGUGAAAGCCCCGGGCUCAACCUGGGAACUGCAUCCAAAACUGGCAAGCUAGAGUACGGUAGAGGGUGGUGGAAUUUCCUGUGUAGCGGUGAAAUGCGUAGAUAUAGGAAGGAACACCAGUGGCGAAGGCGACCACCUGGACUGAUACUGACACUGAGGUGCGAAAGCGUGGGGAGCAAACAGGAUUAGAUACCCCGGUAGUCCCUGUCUCUUAUAA